rnacentral:rRNA from 1 species
GACGUAGGGCGCAAGCGUUGUCCGGAUUUAUUGGGCGUAAAGAGCUCGUAGGCGGCUUGUCGCGUCGACCGUGAAAACCCGCAGCUCAACUGCGGGCUUGCGGUCGAUACGGGCAGGCUCGAGUUCGGUAGGGGAGACUGGAAUUCCUGGUGUAGCGGUGAAAUGCGCAGAUAUCAGGAGGAACACCAAUAGCGAAGGCAGCUCGCUGGGACGGUACUGACGCUAAGGCGCGAAAGCGUGGGGAGCGAACAGG